GCUACAUCACGUUGAAACACCGUCUCACGUAGAUCAAUGAAGUUAAGCAAUGUUGAGCCUGGUCAGUACCUUGGUGGGUGAUCGCUUGGAAGUGCCAAGUGCUGUAAG